UUCACUUUUUAGAUUGUGUUCUUUGAUUUUCAUUUAAUUUAAUUUUAUUCUAUAUUUGUUUAAAAUAACCCUCAUUUCAGAUAGUAUGUAAGCUUGCAGCAACCUUGCCGCGCAAUAUUGCCAAGCAUGCACGGCAAGUUUGCCGCAAACUUUAAAUGUCCCACCUAAACCAAGCUUGCAUGGUAAGCUUGCCGAAAGAUUUGCAGUGUAAGGUUACUGCAAGAUUGCACAGUAAGAUUAUUGCAAGAUUGCUCAGUAAGCUUGCACAGUAAGCUUGUCGCAAGGUUGGUGCAAGGUUGCCAAAUAACCUUGCCAAUCAGUACAGAAGGUUGCAGCAAACUUGCAGCAAGUUUGCUCGGCAACUUUAUGACAACCUUGCACUAAACUUGCCACAAGCUUACCGUGCAAGCUUACUAUGCAAUCUUUCGGUAAGCUUACCAUGCAAGCUUGGGUUAGGUGGGACAUUUUAAGCUUGUGGCAAGCUUGCCAUGCAAGGUUGGCAAUAUUGCGUGGCAAGCUUGCCUCAAGGUCAGCAAUAUUGCGUGGCAAGCUUGCCUCAUGGUUGGCAAUAUUGUGUGGCAAGCUUGCCGUGCAAGGUUGGCAAUAUUUUGUGGUAAGCUUGCCGUGCAAGGUUGUCAAUAUUUUGUGGUAAGCUUGCCGUGCAAGGUUGUCAAUAUUUUGUGGCAAGCUUGCCGUGCAAGGUUGGCAACGGUUGACAAUAUUGCGUAGCAAGCUUGCCUCAAGGUUUGCAAUAUUUUGUAGUAAGCUUGCGUUGCAAGGUUGGCAAUAUUGCGUAGCAAGCUUGCCUCAAGGUUGGCAAUAUUUUGUGGUAAGCUUGCGUUGCAAGGUGAAUUAUUAACUAAUUUUUAUAAAACAUUAAAAUUUGUGGUAAUUUCCCAUGAUUUAAUUUUAUAGCCACUGAUUGAAUUUCAUUAAAAAAAUAGCAUUUUUGGUAUAUAAAAACAAAUAAAAUUAUUUCAAAGUCGUCAAUGUGAUUUUAAAAUUACGUAACUUUAUACCUGCACCCCAAGCUGUUUACAUUAAUAUUUACAAAGAGUACCUUCAGCCAAAGGUCAUAAAAUCCAAAGAUAAUUAAAUCAGUUGCAAAUUGUGUAUUGACCUGUUUAGACGUGCUUAACGGGAGUGAACAAUUUUUUUUAUAAUUUUAAAAUCAAAAUUGUGUUUAGACGUGCUUAACGGGAGUGGAAAAUUUUAUAAUUUUAAAAUCAAAAUUUGCCUGUGUAUUUCUUUUAUCGUUAUUUUUUUUUUGUUUUGUUUUUUAUGUUUUCAGAUUUGAAGUCAAUUGCUUUGGAAGUGCUCGAAUUUUUUAAUCCGUGAACUUAAAAGAGUGUUUUAUUUUUUUAGAAAAAAUUUUUUGUUUCGGGAGUGUUCGAAAUUCUUAAAAUCGCGAUCGUUUAAAUUAAAAAAAAAAGUAUUUUUGUAUUUAAACGUGGUUUUAGGGAGUGUUCACAAAAAUUGCAAGUAUUUCCAUAGUAGAUUACAACGUCCGUAUUAAAGGAUUCAUCAAUUGCAGAUAAGAUGCUACUAUGCCGACACAAAUGAGGACAUAUAGGAAAAAGUGAAGCGAUUUACAAAAGAUAUAAAUUCAUAAAAUAUGAAAGAACUACAUUGGCGCGGUGACGAAAAUUUGGGCCACUUAUCGUGGACCCAAAGAAAGUAAAUAUGAAACCAAGAGUAAAUAUUUUUUAUGAAUCCUUGUGGAGAAAUUUCUUCUGUUCC